rnacentral:rRNA from 1 species
CCUACGGGUGGCAGCAGUGAGGAAUAUUGGUCAAUGGCCGGAAGGCUGAACCAGCCAUGCCGCGUGAAGGGCAGGGCCCUAGGGGCGGGAAACUUCUGGGGGGCGGGAGCAAUAAUGGGCACGUGUGGCCAGACGAGAGUACCGUACGAAUAAGCAUCGGCUAACUCCGUUCCAGCAGCCGCGGUAAUACGGGGGAUGCAAGCGUUAUCCGGAUUUAUUGGGUUUAAAGGGUGCGUAGGCUGGGAGGUAAGUCAGCGGGGAAAUGCCCCCGCUCAACGGGGUGAAGUGCCAUUGAUACUGCCUUGCUGGAAUGCGGAUGCCGUGGGCGGAAUGUGUGGUGUAGCGGUGAACUGCAUAGAUAUCACACAGAACACCGAUUGCGAAGGCAUCUCACGAAGCCGCGAUUGACGCUGAUGCACGAAAGCGUGGGUAUCAAACAGGAUUAGAUACCCCUGUAGUC